rnacentral:rRNA from 1 species
UACAGAGGGGCAAGCGUUAUUCGGAAUUAUUUGGGCGUAAAAGGGCGCGUAGGCGGCCAUUCAAGUGACGGGUGAAAUCCCUACGGCUUAACCGAGGAACUGCCUGUCAGACUGCAUGGCUUGAGACCGGGAGAGGUGAGUGGAAUUCCCAGUGAUAGCGGUGAAAUGCGUAGAUAUUGGGAGGAACACCAGUGGCGAAGGCGGCGACCUGGACAAGUACUGACACUCAAACUGGCGAAAAGCG